UUGAAAUCAACUGAAAACUUAGUCGAUCUAAACUAAAUUUAAUUGGAUAUGAUCAAAUGGAUUCUUUCAACGAAUUAUUAACUAACUAGAGUUGUUUUGAUUUGUGGAUUUAAUUGUCUUUGUUGUUUAUAUCCAUUCUCCCAUCGUACCAAAAGUUUUGUCGUAUCCAUACUCCCAUCCUACCAAAAUAUCUGGCUAACAGAAAAUAUUCUGCAAAAAAUAUGUUAAAUAGCUGUCACUAUUUCCAUUCUCACUCACAAUCACCUUUCUUAUUAUUCACACCGUCAGGCCUCCCAACAACCAGGAUAGUGAUAGAUUCCAAAAGUUCAUUUUACUGAGUUUCUAUAACAUUAUGGGUUGUUUUCUGGUUUUGGUCUUUUCAAACCCAAGCAUACUAGAGGAUAACAAAACAUUUAUGAACUCCAUUUUCAAGGUCCUUUACCUGGGCAUUUAUCAUGAUGAUGCUGACUCUAUCCAUGGAGAAACUUAGUGGAUGCAUAAUGCAAUGCGUUAUUCUGAUGUAGUCUCUGGAUUGGACUUUAGCAUGGUGUGCUCGAAAUGCCAUUUUAUUCUGACUACUUUUUUGACGUGGUUUUCAGCUUUUGGUAUCAUUGUUAUUUUUCAAUGGAAAAUAAUACUAUACCAAACUUUGGAUGUUUUUCAUAACAUUACCACUCUAUACGAAGAGAUAAAAUCUUUGUUGUUCGAGGACGACGCACCACUUAAUUUCAUCUCCAACCCGGUAACAAGCUUUCUCGAAAACUACUUCAACCGGGUAAUAAACUUUCUCGGAAACUGCUUCAACUCGGUAACAAGCUUUCUCGGAAACUACUUUAACCUGGUAACAAGCUUUCUAGGAAACUGCUUCAACUUGGUAACAAACUUCUUCAACCCGGUAUUGUUAUAACCGUAUUCAUAAAAUUUCAUAUCAGUCUUAAAUUACUGCCUAAAAAUGUUUAUAUCCUAAAAGUUGGAAUGAUAAAGGAAGUUUUUGAUUGCAGUUAUCAGAAGCUGUUGUGUAUAAAAAUAAAUAGUCAAUAUGUUUUAAGUUUACUUGUUCUCAAACAUUGUUUUGGUGCAGGAAAACAAGAGCUUCGAGUAGUUUUAUUUUCCUCUUUCUUCUCAUUUUUGUUCACGUCAGCACUGCCCAAGACUCUGUUGGCUUUCAAAAUAUGUUCUCCAAAAGAUUACCAAACCCAAGACACUAAAAAACGAGACUUGUGGUAUGGUAUAUUCUCCAAUUUUCACUUAGAAGGUAGUAUUGUUUGUCAAUCCUGCAAGCAAAAGGACUCAACUUAAAGCAAAAAGGAAUCCCCUCAGGCUGCUAGAGUAAAAGUAUUGGCCAGUGGAAAUGCUACUGAAAGGAGGUUUAGGUCAAGAAGAAGACUCAAAGUUCUGAUUUGUGUGGCGAGUGAUUGUUGAUGUUUAGUAUAAACUGAUAAGCUUGAUGGUGAAUUUAUAGCAAUGUCUGGAUAGGAGGCAGUAUAUUGGCUUCUCUUGGUUCCUUUCAACAAAUGUGGUUCUCCAGAUCCGAGUAUGAAGAGCAUGGAGCUUCAUAUAUCAGUUUCCUCAUGAACCUUGACGUAGGGCUUGAAAACCAAUGGAUUUAUCUUUUGUUGUUAAUGGCUGGCUAUUCAUUCACAUGAUAAAAUUAAAUGCAUAAUUGAUAAACUCUUGUUGUGAUGCA